GCCUGACACUUCCCAAUUUCCACAGCUUGGCACCGUUUCACCCUCAAGAUGACCACUUCCCAUUUGAUUAAUAUCUUCAGAGUUGUUUUCUUGUUCUGACCCUUAAGCAUUUUUCAGUGUGAUUUACUGUUGUGAGUAAAAACUUCAAUAUUACACCAAGUUUUUCCAACGUGCUCUUGGCUCAGUUGUGUUCCCAUAUCCCCUUGACCAGACUGCCCUAAUAACUGGAUUAUGGUAAUGCAAAGCCCGGGAUAGUCACUAAAAGUUCUCACUUCCUGGGGUUGGUUGAAGCAUUUGGUCUGAAAUUCAUCCCAUUAUCCUUAGAGAAAAAUCAGAUAAUAUAUUUGAGAAAAAACAAGGCAUUUUUAUUACGGGCUGUGUCAGGCUUUUGGCUGCAGUUUUGAUUAUUGUCCCUUAACAACUGCAAGAGAUGAAGAACAGAACCAAGAAUGGAAAAAGUCACACUCUGAAGUAUGAGUGCCCUAGAAGUGAAAACAAGCAAGCCAGUUACGUCAACAUAAUUCUGAAGAUUUUCAAGUGUAUACAGUAAAAGAAUGAAGGAGGGUAUAACAGGUUCAUAACAGGAAUGGAAGCAUUUCCACAAGCAGAUGGCCAGACUCAAAAUAUUUCCCAAUGUGGAAUACUGGAUUUUGGUGGAGUAUGAUUUCAUGUUAAGCUUAAAGACUGUAGUAAAGAUUGCACUAGGGACAGUUACCUGCCAGCAAGUAACCAUUGCCUCCAGUCUGACCUGAAUUCACAGAGGCUAUAGUCACCUGACAACUUAAUCAAUGAACCCCUUUGGCUUCAAGGUUGCAGGGGCCAAGAGCUCCAUCAAAGAAGCCUAUGUGCUUUCAGCAACUCAGAAGAUUCCAGUUGUUUUCAGCAGGCCUGAGAGCUUAAAAUAAACAAAUAAGAAAAUGC